GCCUCCGUAGCUCAGCAUGGGCAGAGCGCAGAGCUUCUAAUUCGGCGGCCGCUGGUUCGAAAUCCAGCCGGCGGCGCCA
rnacentral:tRNA from 1 species